rnacentral:lncRNA from 1 species
GCGAGCCAGCCAGUAAGCUCUGCGGAGAUUGGGCUAGCGAUCCAGGCUGAGGCCGAGUCUGAGCCCCGGAUUUUCCCAGCCUGGUGGAGCAGCAGAUCGGCGUGUUGCCACCUGUCCCGUGCUUCCUAGCUCCUCCCCUGCCUGUCUUCUCUCUCUCCUGAGAAGAUGUUCCUGGUGGGCCUAACUGGAGGCAUCGCCUCAGGCAAGAGCUCAGUCAUCCAGGUGUUCCAGCAGCUGGGCUGUGCUGUGAUUGACGUGGACGUCAUUGCCCGGCACAGUGAGUUGGAUGGGGCCCAGUGUGCACAGCAGCAGUCCCCUGUGUCUCCUCCAUUAGACUGUCUUAGAGUGUUUAUG